AUUGAACGCUGGCGGCAGGCCUAACACAUGCAAGUCGAACGAGUGGCGGACGGGUGAGUAAUGUCUGGGAAUCUGCCCGAUGGAGGGGGAUAACUACUGGAAACGGUAGCUAAUACCGCAUACCAUCGGAUGUACCCAGAUGGGCUUAGCUAGUAGGUGGGGUAACGGCUCACCUAGGCGACGAUCCCUAGCUGGUCUGAGAGGAUGACCAGCAACACUGGAACUGAGACACGGCACAGACUCCUACGGGAGGCAGCAGUGGGGAAUAUUGCACAAUGGGCGCAAGCCUGAUGAAGCCAUGCCGCGUGUAUGAAGAAGGCCUUAGGGUUGUAAAGUACUUUCAGCGAGGAGGCGUUACGCGCAGAAGAAGCACCGGCUAACUCCGUGCCAGCCGCCGCGGUAAUUC
rnacentral:rRNA from 1 species